ACAUAAAGACACUCUGUUAUCUCUCUAAACACCACAUCACCACCACCAUCACCACCACUGCACAACCACCACACCACCACAACCACCGCACCAAAAAGCAUUUCAAAAAUCACCACACCAACACCACCAUCACACCGGAACAACCACCGCACCAAAAACGCACCAAAAACAAUUUCAAUACCCUAACCCUAAGAGAGAUAUGCAAUCAACAAGCAGAGCAGAGGCGGAGUGGUUACUUCUUACUCGGAAUCGUUGGAAAACUCCUACAAUCCAAAGAAACCGAGCUUUUAAUCGACGGUUCUGAUCCGAUCUUAGCCGUCGUCGACGUCCUCGCCGCCGAGAAACAGAUCCACAAUCAACUGGAUUGUUGUUGUUGCUACCCCAAAGGCCAAAAGGGUCUUCCACGGCCCACAUAAUACAAGAAGAAAAAUGAAGACAUUAUUGACUGACUUCAAGCUAUAUUUGGGUUUCAGGAAGAUAACAUGGCAAAUCAGCAGGAGCAUCUUAUUUUGUUGCUUUCAAAUGUUUAAAUUUGGAAAAUUCCGCAACCUGGUUAACAAUAACAACCAAGUUCAGUGAGCCAAUCACAUAUGAAUAAAUUCAUCAAGCAGUAGAUUUCCACGUUAGCUAGUAUUGCACUUUGUCACACCUUUAAGAUAUAUUUUAAACGCCUUUUUUCUCGUG